rnacentral:rRNA from 1 species
UCCGCCUGGGUACUACGAGCACAGCUUAAAACCCAAAGGACUUGGCGGUGUCUCAGACCCACCUAGAGGAGCCUGUUCUAGAACCGAUAACCCCCGUUAAACCUCACCACUUCUUGUUUUCCCCGCCUAUAUACCGCCGUCGUCAGCUUACCCUGUGAAGGCCUAGCAGUAAGCAAAGUGGGCUCGCCCCAAAACGUCAGGUCGAGGUGUAGCGCACGAAGUGGGAAGAAAUGGGCUACAUUUUCUACAAUAGAAUAUUACGAAUGGCACCCUGAAACAAAUGCCUGAAGGUGGAUUUAGUAGUAAAAA